rnacentral:lncRNA from 1 species
AAUUGGUAGACAAAUUGAUGGAGUACACUUGUGAUGAUAACCGACAACACCAAGGUAUUAGUUAGAAAAUUUAGCACAUAUACCGACGGAUAAAAAAACUCUAUGCAAUGACAUAAUAUGAAUGUUUAUGAAGACACUAAGAAAAUGAUCCAGGAUAUGCCGUGUCAUCCUUGUGUCAUGUCAAGCAUUUGUAGAUGGGCCUUUUCCUUGAUAUAACUGCCAGGGAAAAAAUUAAGAAGGUACGUACAAUUAGUAAAAUGAAAUGUCCCAUAUAUAUAUAUGCAAUUAUGAUGUUGUGUUUCUCUUUCGUCUUACUCAUCAUUUCACUUUGUAUAGUAAAAUCUAAGUUAAAUAUAGUAAAUAUAAAUCACCUGAUGAAACUUGAUGGCGAUCAAGAUGAAAUUUACUGUCACAACAACAACUAUAUCAUGGUCUAUUUAUAAAAGCCAUGCCUGACGGGCUGAUAGCAAAUAAAUGUAGUAUAUUUAGUGUGAUGUUUUGAUGUUUCUCAGACCUAAAGAAGAGAGAAAUUGAGUUUAAGAAAAGAGCAGAAACCUUCUAUUUGGACGUCAACGGUGACUAUCAUUGACAUCAGUUAAAUUUAGUGAUAGCACCUGAAGUUGAACUUCAGAACACAAAAAAUAUCUGAGCUGCAAACGCAAUGGUAAGAAUCAGAAAGAAUUGUUGGUUGCAAAGAAAAAUAUCAAUUGGUAUAAAUAUAUAGAUGUAGGAUAAAUAUACGAUUUGAUCCAAAACUGCAUCAACAUAGGCAGACAUAUAACUCGAAAAUCAGCAUACAUAUUAUCUCAAUUUGUCAUGCAGAAACAUACCACUUCAUAAUCAUAAGAAAAGAGAGGCAGAUAGUCCAACAAAGCAUAUCAGGCACCAGAUUCAACAUUUAUGUCACUCAUUUCCUUGGACAGAUAGUGGCAGAUGCGCAACCUGUAUAAGUGGUUGAGGAGAUAAGAUAUCUUGUUGAUGUAGAUAAGAAAAUUCUGCAGAAACAAAUGGAGCUGCAAACUGUUUGGACUUUGAUAAGAUAAUACCACGGUGACAUGGAUUAGAAAUUCAUGCAGAACCAAACAUGAGAAGGUAGAAGAUUAAAGUUGGUUGACUACUACAACAUGGCAGGUUGUAGUACCUGCUUCAUAAACAAAAAAGAAUAUAUUUAACCUUCUAAUGGAAGUACAUACUAAAACUUCACCCAACAAAAGCAUCAGGAGGCCGUGGACAUUCAACAAAUAUUGGGAGGCGGUAGAGACUAGGGAGUAGUUAGAUAGAGGAAGAUGAUAC